AUGCCCCUCUAUAUAGUAUCUAACAGAGACCCAGUUUUCACCAGCAAAUUCUGGCAAGCUCUGGUGAAGAGGACAGGAGAUGUACUUAAUAUGAGCACAACCUAUCAUCCUGAAACUGAUGGGCAGACUGAGCAUGUUAAUCAGCAGGUGGAGUGUUUUUUGAGAUGUUUCAUCAGUGCUCAUCCGAACAAGUGGGCAAAGUGGCUUUCUCUUUGUGAGUUUUGGUACAAUACCAACUGGCAUUCAGCUCUUAACAAAUCUCCAUUUGAGGUUCUUUAUGGUCAGGGUCCUCGGCAUUUUGGGAUUUCAAUUUCAGACUCGAUUGACCCUGUUGAUUGCAGCAGUGGUUAG
rnacentral:rRNA from 1 species